GAUGAACGCUAGCGGCAGGCUUAACACAUGCAAGUCGAGGGGCAUCGAGAUGUAGCAAUACAUUGUCGGCGACCGGCGUAAGGGUGCGUACGCGUGAGCAACCUGCCCGUAUCAGGGGGAUAACCGAUGGAAACGUCGCCUAAUACCCCAUAAUCAUUGAGACCUCAUGGUUUUGAUGUAAAAGAUUCGUCAGAUACGGAUGGGCUCGCGUGACAUUAGCUAGUUGGUGUGGUAACGGCACACCAAGGCAACGAUGUCUAGGGGUUCUGAGAGGAAGACCCCCCACACUGGAACUGAGACACGGUCCAGACUCCUACGGGAGGCAGCAGUGAGGAAUAUUGGUCAAUGGGCGGAAGCCUGAACCAGCCAUGCCGCGUGAAGGAAUAAGGUCCUAUGGAUCGUAAACUUCUUUUGAGCGGGAGCAAUAAGGUCUACGAGUAGACCGAUGAGAGUACCGUUCGAAUAAGCAUCGGCUAACUCCGUGCCAGCAGCCGCGGUAAUACGGAGGAUGCAAGCGUUAUCCGGAUUUAUUGGGUUUAAAGGGUGCGUAGGCCGUUGUGCAAGUCAGAGGUGAAAUCGCGGGGCUCAACCCCGUGUCUGCCUUUGAUACUGUAUGACUUGAAUGUUGUUGCCGUGUGAGGAAUGAGUAGUGUAGCGGUGAAAUGCAUAGAUAUUACUCAGAACAGCCGAUUGCGAAGGCAUCUCACGAAACAAUUAUUGACGCUGAGGCACGAAAGCGUGGGUAUCCAACAGGAUUAGAUACCCUGGUAGUCCACGCUGUAAGACGAUGAUAACUAACCGUCGGCGAUAUACAGUCGGUGGCCAAGCGAGAGCGAUAAGUUAUCCACCUGGGGAGUACGACCGCAAGGUUGAAACUCAAAUGAAUUGACGGGGGCCCGCACAAGCGGAGGAACAUGUGGUUUAAUUCGAUGAUACGCGAUGAACCCUACCCUGGCUCGAACGGCACAGGAAGUGAUCCAGAGAUGUGACGUUCCCUCGGGGGACCGUUGUCGACGUGCUGCAUGGGUUGUCGUCAGCUCGUGUCGUGAGAUGUUGGCCCCAGUGCCGUAACGAGCGCAUCCCUGU
rnacentral:rRNA from 1 species